rnacentral:rRNA from 1 species
GUAAAAAAAACGUACGCCGGGUAGAACAUAGGCGGUACACGGGUGCAGGACGGUAGGGUGGGGAAAGGGAGACUUUGGAGGGUCAGGGUGCGGCGUAGAAGAGAAGAGGGUUCAGGGUUGUUGAAGAAGCGGCGGCGGCGGUACGCGGUUGGGGCGACAGCGGGCAACUAGGCCGACGCGUGGAGUGGGAGCAGCGAGAGGGACCGGGUUGUUGUAGUGGGUGAGGGACGAGAAGGAGGGCUGCGCCUUCACAGGAAAGCUCAGAGCAGAGACAGAAGCACCAGGAGUCUAGACCGUCGGACGCCGGUGUUGCGACGGCCUAGAUUGGUUGGUUAUCCACGAGCUGCGGCGAGGAGUCCUGGCGCAGCCAGAAGAAGCAGACGAGAGAGAGAGAGGGAGUUGGAGGGUGCCGUACAUAGCUGGGGAAGACUUUGAGGAGUAGGCUCACCGGUGGACUACGGCGGCACAUCUUGUGCGAGUGAGGACGGAAGCGGGCGGACAUGGUCCUAAACGAGGACACCAAGUUCAACUUAUGGCCCCUCUACCUCUACCACUGUACCGACCGAAGACACCACCACCGGCAACCCGGAUAGACUUCUCGUUGUUACAUUGCGAAAACUCGAAUCCAUGUUCUUCAGCAUAAACUUUCCCCUGCUCUACUACAAGUAGUUUUACUUUGACUUUUCCUCACCCUUUGUUAUGGCCUCCUUAGCACUAGAUACCGUUCCCACUACUACAGAUACCGCUACUAACAGUACUAGAUAUACCGUUACCCGCAAUACUAGGUAUACCACUACUUCUACUCAGACUAGAAAGAAGUCCUAUACGUUGUUUCACUUGAAUACUUCAAAACCAGUUAAAAUCGAAUACGUAUUACGAACCUGGUAAUAUAGAAUCAAUGAUAAAAACAAAUCGUGAAGUUUGAAGGAUCUAUCUAGUAAUACUAGCUACAUUAAACCUAGGCGAUUUAUAUGAUAUACAAUGAACCAGUACACACCAACACGUUAAUAUUCUAUCAUAUAAACUUCACCUUUUGUUAGGAAAGCCCCACUAAUUACCGGAUGGUAUGUUGUUGUCUC